rnacentral:lncRNA from 1 species
AUAAGUACUAUAAAACAUAGAGCAUAGCACAAUAUCUACAAAAAUCUGAAUGUGAGGUCAACAUACACAAUAAUCCCAUAUGUAUAUCUCAGGACAUACAAGAACUUUGCUUCCUGAAGAAUUAAGAGAAUAUGAACAAGACAAUCAACAGUUCUCUUCAAGGAGAAUCGCCGCACUAGAGAGUGAACGUGUGAAAACAACUGCAGUUUUGCAACAGAGACUUCACGAAAAAAUGAAAAUCCUCAUGAGGCUGCUUCUAGCAUCUGGGGAUCAUCUAAGUAUGAU